CCUACGGGGGGCUGCAGUGGGGAAUUUUGCGCAAUGGGCGAAAGCCUGACGCAGCAACGCCGCGUGAGUGAUGAAGGCUUUCGGGUCGUAAAGCUCUGUCAAUGGGAAAGAAGUGUAUUGUAGCUAAUAUCUGCGAUACUUGACGGUACCCAUAAAGGAAGCCCCGGCUAACUCCGUGCCAGCAGCCGCGGUAAUACGGGGGGUGCAAGCGUUGUUCGGAAGUAUUGGGCGUAAAGCGCGAGUAGGAUGUGAAGGCCCUGGGCUAAACCCAGGAAGUGCAUUGGAAACUGGCAGACGUGAAUACGGGAGAGGGUAGUGGAAUUCCUGGUGUAGGAGUGAAAUCCGUAGAUAUCAGGAGGAACACCGGUGGCGAAGGCGGCUGCCUGGACCGAUAUUGACGCUGAGACGCGAAAGCGUGGGUAGCAAACAGGAUUAGAUACCCCUGUAGUC
rnacentral:rRNA from 1 species